GGGUAGGUGGCCGAGUGGUUAAUGGCAGCAGACUGUAAAUCUGCCGCGCUUAGGCGCUACGGGGGUUCAAAUCCCUCCCUGCCCACCA
rnacentral:tRNA from 2 species